rnacentral:rRNA from 1 species
UACUCCCGCCGGCGACCGGCGCACGGGUGAGUAACACGUAUGCAACCUGCCCCUGUCAGGGGGACAACCCGCCGAAAGGCGGGCUAAACCCGCGUACAUGCCACCGGGCAUCCCGGAGGCAGGAAAGGCUUCGGCCGGACAGGGAUGGGCAUGCGGCGCAUUAGGCAGUAGGCGGGGUAACGGCCCACCUAACCGACGAUGCGUAGGGGUUCUGAGAGGAAGGUCCCCCACACUGGUACUGAGACACGGACCAGACUCCUACGGGAGGCAGCAG